rnacentral:rRNA from 1 species
GGUGCCCGUACCGCAAACCGACACAGGUAGGUAGGAAGAAGAUUCUAAGGCCAACGGGAGAAGGGUUGUUAAGGAACUCGGCAAAUUGACCCCGUAACUUCGGGAGAAGGGGUGCUCCAGAGAUGGAGCCGCAGAGAAUCGGCCCAAGCAACUGUUUACCAAAAACACAGGUUUGUGCUAAAUCGAAAGAUGACGUAUACGAGCUGACGCCUGCCCGGUGCUGGAAGGUUAAGAGGAGAUGUGCAAGCAUUGAAUCGAAGCCCCAGUGAACGGCGGCCGUAACUAUAACGGUCCUAAGGUAGCGAAAUUCCUUGUCAGGUAAGUUCUGACCCGCAUGAAAGGCGUAAUGAUUUGGGCACUGUCUCAACAGCCCGCCCGGCGAAAUUGUAGUACCGGUGAAGAUGCCGGUUACCCGCGACAAGACGGAAAGACCCCAUGGAGCUUUACUGUAGCCUAAUAUUGGGUUUCGAUGUUGCAUGCACAGGAUAGAUGGGACACUGGGAAACAAUCGCUUUGGCGGUUGCGGAGUGGCCGUUGGGAUACCAUCCUUGCGAUAUUGGAAUUCUAACCUGCGGCUCUGAAUCGAGUCGGGGGACAUUGUUAGGUGGGCAGUUUGACUGGGGCGGUCGCCUCCUAAAAAGUAACGGAGGCGUUCAAAGGUUCGCUCAGCUUGAACGGAAAUCAAGCAAAAGAGUGCAAACGCAGAAGCGAGCCUAACUGCGAGACUGACGGGUCGAGCAGUAACGAAAGUUGGAGUUAGUGAUCCGGUGGUAUGUGAGUGGAAAUGCCAUCGCUCAACGGAUAAAAGUUACCCUGGGGAUAACAGGCUGAUCUCCCCCAAGAGUCCACAUCGACGGGGAGGUUUGGCACCUCGAUGUCGGCUCAUCGCAUCCUGGGGCUGUAUUCGGUCCCAAGGGUUUGGCUGUUCGCCAAUUAAAGCGGUACGCGAGCUGGGUUCAGAACGUCGUGAGACAGUUCGGUCCCUAUCUGUCGUGGGCGCAGGAUAUUUGAUGGGAGCUGU